rnacentral:rRNA from 1 species
GAUGAACGCUAGCGGCGGGCUUAAUACAUGCAAGUCAAGGGGUAGCAAUACACCGGCGUACGGGUGCGUAACGCGUAUGGAACCUGCCCUUAUCUGGGGGAUAACUCGGGGAAACUCGAGCUAAUACCGCAUAAGAUAGUAGAAUGGCAUCAUUAAGCUAUUAAAGAUUUAUCGGAUAAGGAUGGCCAUGCGUAAGAUUAGAUAGUUGGUGGGGUAACGGCUCACCAAGUCUACGAUCUUUAGGGGCUCUGAGAGGCGAAUCCCCAACACUGGCAGUGAGAUACGGGCCAGACUCCUACGGGAGGCAGCAGUAGGGAAUAUUGGGCAAUGGGCGUAAGCCUGGCCCAGCCACGCCGCGUGCAGGAAGAAGGCCCUCUGGGUUGUAAACUGCUUUUGAUUGGGAAGAAAGCAUCUCAUGCGUGGGAUUUUGACGGUACCAAUCGAAUAAGCCACGGCUAACUACGUGCCAGCAGCCGCGGUAACAC